rnacentral:rRNA from 1 species
UGGGGAAUAUUGCGCAAUGGGGGAAACCCUGACGCAGCGACGCCGCGUGCGGGAUGAAGGCCUUCGGGUUGUAAACCGCUUUUGAUUGGGAGCAAGCUUUCGGGUGAGUGUACCUUUCGAAUAAGCGCCGGCUAACUACGUGCCAGCAGCCGCGGUAAUACGUAGGGCGCAAGCGUUAUCCGGAAUUAUUGGGCGUAAAGAGCUUGUAGGCGGUUCGUCGCGUCUGGUGUGAAAGCCCAUCGCUUAACGGUGGGUUUGCACCGGGUACGGGCGGGCUAGAGUGCAGUAGGGGAGACUGGAAUUCCCGGUGUAACGGUGGAAUGUGUAGAUAUCGGGAAGAACACCAAUGGCGAAGGCAGGUCUCUGGGCUGUUACUGACGCGGAGAAGCGAAAGCGUGGGGAGCGAACAGG